rnacentral:rRNA from 1 species
ACGUAGGAGGCGAACGUUAUCCGGAAUUACUGGGCGUAAAGCGCGCGCAGGCGGCUUCGUAAGUCCGACGUGAAAGCUCCCGGCUUAACUGGGAGAGGCCGUUGGAAACUGCGAGGCUUGAGGUUGGGAGAGGGAAGUGGAAUUCCCGGUGUAGUGGUGGAAUGCGUAGAUAUCGGGAGGAACUCCAGUGGCGAAGGCGACUUCCUGGCCUACACCUGACGCUGAGGCGCGAAAGCGUGGGGAGCGAACAGGAUUAGAUACCCUAGUAGUCC